GUGGACGCGCGGGGGGCGCGAGUCCGGGAGCGGGCGGCGGCGGCGGCGACAGGCGGGGUCCGCGCUUUCUGCCUCGGGGGACGCCGCCCCCUCGCCUUCCCGGAUCCCCGCCCUUGGAGGCUGGGGCCGGCGAUCCGACCCCCUCCCCUAAUUCCAAUCCUGCACCCACUCCCGCCUUGUUCCAGUCCCCGCCACUCCCAUCUUCCAAGUCCCCUCUCGCGUCCCCGACGGCCCCCUCCCGCUUUCUCUUUUCCUUCGGGGACUUCUAUUCACGUUCUCCGCGUUCCAAGCCCUCCCCGCCACGUUCUCCUGCCCACUCCGCCUGCGUUCUAGCUGAGCCACCCACGUUCUAAACUGGCUCUGCGACCGAACCCCCUUCCCCUCCAUGCCCUGAGCCCCCUCCCCUUUCCUGAAUCUGUCCCUGCCUUCCAGUCGCCUCUUUUUCAGCAGCCCCCGGGAUCCCCCCCACGUCCCCUCCAAAGCGCCUAAUGGCCCCCCCGCCGCCGCCUGAUGAAGAUUUAUCGGCCCCGGAACCCCCGCCCCUCCGCCCCCGGGCUCCCCGCGCCCGCCAGGCCUCGCCCUGCCCCCGCCCGCGCGGACACCUGAUGAAGCCGUCACCGCGGGGGAAGGGGACGCCCGAGACGUCUCUCGGCCGAGACCCGAUGAGACAGGCGCGCAGAGACGCCGAGGGGCGGCGAGAAGACAGUUCCGGGGCCGCGGAGUCAGGGUCCUCGAGAGGGAGUGGAGGGGAGGGUCUGACCCGCAGCCGAGGGAGCUCCCAACUGUGAAUCCGACCCUAGUGCUGUGUCCAAGAGGCCGGCGCGGGUGGGAGAGGGGGGCGGCUGCCCGGAGGACCAGGCAGGGUUUUCAGGCAUCCGAGGGAGGUUAGAGGUGGGGGCCCGGAAGCCGGGUCCUGCGACAGAAGUGGACUCCCGACCAAGCUGGGACCAGGAGAGGCAGGGACCUGGACUCAUGGGUCUGAAGGAGGAAACUGGGGUGGCCUGGACUCCUGGGUCUGAGGGAGGAGGGGCUGGGGGCCUGGACUCCUGGGUCUGAGGAAGGAGG
rnacentral:lncRNA from 1 species